UACAGAGGGGGCUAGCGUUAUUCGGAAUUAUUGGGCGUAAAGGGCGCGUAGGCGGCCAUGCGUGUCUUCCGUGAAAUCCCUCGGCUUAACUGAGGACGUGCGGAAGAAACUGCAAGGCUCGAGUCCGGGAGAGGGGGGUGGAAUUCCCAGUGUAGCGGUGAAAUGCGUAGAUAUUGGGAGGAACACCGGUGGCGAAGGCGGCCCCCUGGACCGGUACCGACGCUGAGGCGCGAAAGCGUGGGUAGCAAACGGG
rnacentral:rRNA from 1 species